rnacentral:rRNA from 1 species
AUUGAACGCUGGCGGCAUGCCUUACACAUGCAAGUCGAACGGUAACAGGUCUUCGGAUGCUGACGAGUGGCGAACGGGUGAGUAAUACAUCGGAACGUGCCCGAGAGUGGGGGAUAACGAGGCGAAAGCUUUGCUAAUACCGCAUACGAUCUCAGGAUGAAAGCAGGGGACCGCAAGGCCUUGCGCUCACGGAGCGGCCGAUGGCAGAUUAGGUAGUUGGUGGGAUAAAAGCUUACCAAGCCGACGAUCUGUAGCUGGUCUGAGAGGACGACCAGCCACACUGGGACUGAGACACGGCCCAGACUCCUACGGGAGGCAGCAGUGGGGAAUUUUGGACAAUGGGCGCAAGCCUGAUCCAGCCAUGCCGCGUGCAGGAUGAAGGCCUUCGGGUUGUAAACUGCUUUUGUACGGAACGAAAAGACUCUGGUUAAUACCUGGGGUCCAUGACGGUACCGUAAGAAUAAGCACCGGCUAACUCUGUGCCAGCCGCCGCAGUAAAAC